GCCGCGAUGGUCUAAUGGUAUGAUUCUCGCUUAGGGCUCACCCUGAGUUGUAGCUCGUGGGUUGGCAACACCCCCAUGCUCACUGAUACGCGAGAGAUCCCGGGUUCUAUCCCGGUUGCGGCC